GACGGGGGAUGCAAGUGUUAUCCGGAAUCACUGGGCGUAAAGCGUCUGCAGGUGGUUUCCUAAGUCCACUGUUAAACCUUGAGGCUCAACCUCAAAUCUGCAUUGGAAACUAGGAGACUUGAGUAUAGUAGGGGUAGAGGGAAUUUCCAGUGGAGCGGUAAAAUGCGUAGAUAUUGGAAAGAACACCGAUGGCGAAGGCACUCUACUGGGCUAUUACUGACACUCAGAGACGAAAGCUAGGGGAGCAAAUGGG
rnacentral:rRNA from 1 species